rnacentral:rRNA from 1 species
AGAGUUUGAUCCUGGCUCAGGAUAAACGCUGGCGGCGCACAUAAGACAUGCAAGUCGAACGAACUUAACUCAUUCUUUUAGUUUGAGAGCGGUUAGUGGCGGACUGGUGAGUAACACGUAAGCAACCUGCCUAUUAGAGGGGAAUAACAGUGAGAAAUCAUUGCUAAUACCGCAUAUGCUAACAGUAUCGCAUGAUACAGUUAGGAAAGGAGUAAUCCGCUAAUAGAUGGGCUUGCGCCUGAUUAGCUAGUUGGUGGGGCAGUGGCCUACCAAGGCGACGAUCAGUAGCCGGACUGAGAGGUUGAACGGCCACAUUGGGACUGAGAUACGGCCCAGACUCCUACGGGAGGCAGCAGUCGGGAAUAUUGCGCAAUGGAGGAAACUCUGACGCAGUGACGCCGCGUAUAGGAAGAAGGUUUUCGGAUUGUAAACUAUUGUCGUUAGGGAGGAUACAAGACAGUACCUAAGGAGGAAGCCCCGGCUAACUAUGUGCCAGCAGCCGCGGUAAUACAUAGGGGGCAAGCGUUAUCCGGAAUUAUUGGGUGUAAAGGGUGCGUAGACGGAGGAGCAAGUUGGUUGUGAAAUCCCUCGGCUUAACUGAGGAACUGCAACCAAAACUACUUCCCUUGAGUGUCGGAGAGGAAGUGGAAUUCCUAGUGUAGCGGUGAAAUGCGUAGAUAUUAGGAGGAACACCAGUGGCGAAGGCGACUUUCUGGACGAUAACUGACGUUGAGGCACGAAAGUGUGGGGAGCAAACAGGAUUAGAUACCCUGGUAGUCCACACCGUAAACGAUGGACAC